CUACUCCCUGACGCACACAGCACAGAGCGGCUCCACCUUUUGUGAGUGUGUCUAUACACUCUCUCUCUGUGGAAAGAUUAACAGGCAAGUCGAAAGGCUGAUAUGACACUAUCCUUAACGCACUGUUGGCCUCAAAUCGGACAAUCCCGAGAUAGCAGGGGAUCAAACUGUCUCCAUGCAUCUCUUCCCCCUUUCCCAAUGUUAGCCAGACGCAUCUCCACCCAAUAGCAGCAGCAGCUAGAACAGGAGGGUACAUCUUCCAGAUCGCAUUCUCUUUCUCCAGAAUAUCUCACACACUCAAUGCUGACUCGCUCACGGUGAUGGGAUGAACUCAGGAGUGAUAUUGCACUUGUCUGUGAACGUUUCGUUUUAUUUCUGUUGGGGGCAAAAAAAAACAACCAGAACCAUAAUCAAAUGAUUGCAAUGCAGAAGAGGUGUCAGUAAGUGGUACCCUGGCCCACACGUGACUGAGCGGCACUGCCUCUGGGAGUCGGGAAGCAGAUGGUGCCAGAUGUGAUCGGAAUCCAUGAAGUAGCUGGAUCCUCAGAUCGACAGACUCUGGGCGGGAGGUCGUGAAUUGAAAUUCCAGCUUUCUCCGGUGUUUUUGAGUGCAUUUGUGUCUGCCAAUUAACCAGCUGCACAAUCUAUUUUCUGACUCCUAGCCUGACCAAAGCUACUAAUGGUAUUCCUGCCAACACUUUGGGGAGAGCUGGAUGAUUGGAGGUGAGGACACAAAACUGAGGAAUGGAGAGGCACCCUUAAUAAUGGGGAUCAAUGUAAAGAAACUGUCAACUUAAAAUAGUCACCUUUUUUUAUUCUCAUUUUACAUGCCAUACUUUUCGACAACUAGAUUGGGAGCUUUGGGUGACCACACAGUCCACUAACUCAGGCUCAGUGUCCUGUGAUUUGCCUUUUUCUUUUUGUGUGUGGGAGGGGGAAACAUCAUAAAAACUGAGCCACUGUUCGCAAAGUGUCAUGCAACAUUCCCACCAAUGGACCAUCAUCAUAACACACUGUGAAGCUCCCAUCCAUCCAAUGCUGGUGUAGGAUGGCAUAGGCAGAAACUGGAAUAUUGUUCGACAUUUCUUAGCCUUUCUAUCUCCUCUGUCUCUCCACUUGAAUAUUGCUGAGAAGGGAGGCAUACGGGUGAAUCUUUCCACCCCCACUGGUCAGGAUGAAUGCAAGAAUGCCAACUUUGAAAUAAUCCUCACGGUUUAUACUGUGGGAUCUUAGGGUUCUGAUUAGUUAGCCAGUCAUAACUGGCUGAGAUAUUGCCAAGGGGAAAGUAACAGAAUGAUUGGCUCCCCCAGUUCCUAGGUAAUGGAAAAAGUUCCAGACUUUAACCUAUGAUGGCUCAGUGGUUAGCACUGUAGCCUCAUGGUGCCAGGGACCUGGAUUUGAUUCCAGCCUUGGGUAA